UGUAAAAUAUUCUUCAAAAGAAUAUAAAUUCUUUUUUCGAAUACACAAUAAUAAGCUUUUCUAAAAUUUGUGAUGGCACAUUUUAAGGCUGUUAUCAAGAAAGUGUUUUUGUUAAUAAUAACUGUCACUUAGAAGAAAAAUAAAUUGAGUAAAUGCUUUUCUUAGCAAUAGACUUGGUAAUUUUCUGUGUAUAUGCAUAAAUAUGUUGUUUUUUCAUAAUAAUCUAAUACUAUUUAUAUUUGCAACAGAUAUUGAGCACAGCGAUGUCAUACUUUACGUUAUUACGACAAAUGAGUGAAAAUAAUAUAUAGUAUAGAAUAUAGACCUAUAGAAGAGAUUUCUAGCACUACAGUUGGCAAAAUUCCUGAUAUACAUAUGCAUACAUACAUACAUACAUACAUAUAUGUAUAUAUGUCAUGGUUUAAAUAAGUACUUUAAUUUAAUGAGGUAUAUGCUUAAAUAAAUUCCAAUGUCAAGAGGACAACCUUUUCGCUGGAAUAUUUUCUGUCGUAGAUCAUCAUCCGACAUAUGAUACAGGUUAGAUAUCAUACGUAUGUUAAAUGCGAAUUUAUAAGUCUUAUAAAAAUCACGUUGCCAUCAGUCGGCACGUAAUCAUCUUCGUCGCUCAAGUUUCCAACAGAUGAGAAUAAUGUUAACUUGAAAAUUAAUAAAAACUUACAGAAA